GACGAACGCUGGCGGCGUGCUUAACACAUGCAAGUCGAACGGAAAGGCCCUGCUUUUGUGGGGUGCUCGAGUGGCGAACGGGUGAGUAACACGUGAGUAACCUGCCCUUGACUUUGGGAUAACUUCAGGAAACUGGGGCUAAUACCGGAUAGGAGCUCCUGCUGCAUGGUGGGGGUUGGAAAGUUUCGGCGGUUGGGGAUGGACUCGCGGCUUAUCAGCUUGUUGGUGGGGUAGUGGCUUACCAAGGCUUUGACGGGUAGCCGGCCUGAGAGGGUGACCGGCCACAUUGGGACUGGGAUACGGCCCAGACUCCUACGGGAGGCAGCAGUGGGGAAUAUUGCACAAUGGGCGGAAGCCUGAUGCAGCAACGCCGCGUGCGGGAUGACGGCCUUCGGGUUGGAAACCGCUUUCGCCUGUGACGAAGCGUGAGUGACGGUAAUGGGUAAAGAAGCACCGGCGAACUACGU
rnacentral:rRNA from 1 species